AUUGAACGCUGGCGGCAGGCCUAACACAUGCAAGUCGAACGAGUGGCGGACGGGUGAGUAAUGUCUGGGAAACUGCCUGAUGGAGGGGGAUAACUACUGGAAACGGUAGCUAAUACCGCAUACCAUCGGAUGUGCCCAGAUGGGAUUAGCUAGUAGGUGGGGUAAAGGAUCACCUAGGCGGCGAUCCCUAGCUGGUCUGAGAGGAUGACCAUGCACACGGGAGCAGAGACGCGGUCGAAACUCCUACGGGAGGCAGCAGUGAGGAAUAUUGCACAAUGGGCGCAAGCCUGAUGCAGCCAAGGCGCGGGUAUGAAGAAGGCCUUCGGGUUGUAAAGUACUUUCAGCGGGGAGGCGUUACCCGCAGAAGAAGCACCGGCUAACUCCGUGCCAGCAGCCGCGGUAAUUC
rnacentral:rRNA from 1 species